GCCGGAUCAGCCUGAAGGCGCCCGAUCUCGUCUGAUCUCGGAAGCUAGGCAGGGUCGGGCCUGGUUAGUAUCUUGGAUGGGAGACCACCUGGGAAUCCCGGGUGCUCGAGGCU
rnacentral:rRNA from 1 species